rnacentral:lncRNA from 1 species
AACCCCAACGUCACCACUUUCAGAGUAUAUUUGUUUUACCUAAAGUGGAGAUGGAUGAUGACCGUAAAUAUCUACUUCCGCUGUUUGGUUUACCAUAACUUUAGCUUCGGUUAGCUCCGGUUGAAACGCAAACUUUUCAAAAUACCGUAAUUAACUUCGGCUCACCCAAGACCAACAUCAAUUACGAAGAAAAAUAAAAAAAAAUAAUUAAUUCAUCUCUUAUCCCUCAAAACUUUUACGUCAUUCACUUUCUGCCAAAUAAACAAUAAAAUUAGAGAGAACUUUAAUUUUGCAGCUAUACAAAUAAACAACGUAAGAGAAGCAACUUUUACAGAAACCCUAAUUUAUCCGAAAAUCUACUUUAAUUUGAAUUUCACCUUCGGCGAAACAAAUAGGCACUCGGCAUCACUCUUGACGCCUACAACCAUCUCAACCUCGUAGAUGAUGCCAACUGC